GUGAGGAAUAUUGGUCAAUGGACGGGAGCCUGAACCAACCAAGUCGCGUGAAGGAAGAAGGAUCUAUGGUUCGUAAACUUCUUUUGCAGGGGAAUAAAGUGCAGGACGUGUCCUGUUUUGUAUGUACCCUGAGAAUAAGGAUCGGCUAACUCCGUGCCAGCAGCCGCGGUAAUACGGAGGAUCCGAGCGUUAUCCGGAUUUAUUGGGUUUAAAGGGUGCGUAGGUGGUUUGAUAAGUCAGCGGUGAAAGUUUGCAGCUUAACUGUAAAAAUGCCGUUGAAACUGUCGGACUUGAGUGUAAAUGAGGUAGGCGGAAUGCGUGGUGUAGCGGUGAAAUGCAUAGAUAUCACGCAGAACUCCGAUUGCGAAGGCAGCUUACUAAGCUACAACUGACACUGAAGCACGAAAGCGUGGGGAUCAAACAGGAUUAGAAACCCGGGUAGUCC
rnacentral:rRNA from 1 species